rnacentral:lncRNA from 1 species
UUAGCACUUGUACUUUGGACAUUGGUUUUCCACAGGAUGAGCAAGAGGAAGUCCCUUUUGCUUUCCCUGGAGAGGGUUCAGAGAAAGCUCCUUAAAGGAGAUUCAUCUGGUCCAGGUGCAGUGCACAUGCCUGUAAUCCCAGUGAUUUGGGAGGCUGAGGCAAGAGGAUCACAAGUUUGAGGACAGCCUCUGCAACUUAAGCCCUAACCAACUUAGUGAGACUCUGUCUCAAAUUUUGAAAAUAAAUAAAUAAACAAAAGAGCCGAGGCUGUAACUCAGUGCAAAAAUGUCCCUGGUUUCAAUCUCCCGUAUUAAAAAAAAAAAAAAAGAUUCACCUGACUUGGUGUUCCUCACCUUUUACCCCUCCCCCUUCUUCCUGCCUGAAGGACAGAUGAAAUGUUCUGGAGCUGCAGAAGCCACCUUGCAAUCAGGAGGCAAUGGACAGCUGCAAGCUUCAGCAGAGCAGGAAGGUGGAAACAGACUGACUGGGCCCUUAUGGUCUCUGUGAGUCACCAGAGCCCUGGGAUCCUGUUAUAUGAGACAGACAAACCCCUUGGUUGUUUUCAGACUGCUCUGGUGUUAUGGCUGAAGGGAGUUUCUAACAGAACAGCUCUUGUUCUCUUCCCCAGGUGGCUUCGGGCCAAGACAUGUUCCUCCAUCCCCACGACAUUUUCAGCCAGAUUCCAAUGUCCCAGUACUGUUGUGCUCCUUGCUGCCUGUCCUAACCCCAGCCCAGCUCUAGGGGUGUAAGAAGGAGGAAAAAGGAGGGAGAGGAUACCUUCUAGCACACAACCAACAAAAGCCUAAUAUCCCUACUCACAUGGAUCCAAAUAUCCCUGCAGCAGGUGGUGCUGAGCAUGCGCAUUGGCUGCCUCCCAGUUUGCCCCAACACAGAGGAAAGCAGUUCCAGACACCUGACCUUAUUGGCACUCUUGGGCAACCAGCUCCUGGGAGCUCUGGAGGGGUAGUGAGGCUGGGGCUGUCUGGCCACCCACUUCCAGCUCUGGGUGCUGGUGAUGCUCAACUUCACGACCCCACAGAGACCCCAGUGAUCUGUUAAACUGCCACACAGUCUUACGCAUCUUCCUGCGCCAGGCGAUAUAUAGCUCAUGACGAAAUCACUUGGAAAUUUUAACAACAAGUUCAUCAGGCAGCAUGCUUUGGCCCCAUUUGGACAGGAGGGGAAAGGGCAUGGAUGGCCAAUGGCUCGCCUUGGGACGUGGACAGCUGCAUCUGGCUGGAGGAUGGGUCCGCAGCCUCCCGAUCGGUCGGCGUCUGGGGUUGGGCUCUCGCUGAACCCCGGAGCCCUGCUGGGAAGCCGCGAGCUGUUCAUCUCUUAGAAUAGUUGCGCACCUGCAGAUAAGCAGUUUCUGUUGUGGUGAGAAAUAGUGAAAAAAACUAAAUAAAAAAGCAGAAAAGGACAAGCUCAUCCUCACAGACAAUUCUCUGCUGCUGUGAAACUACUACAGUCUAACACCUCCCACGCACUACCCUCAAUCAGUGCCCUGGGCGAGGGCAGCGGAACUUGGCCAAAGCCAUCUGAGACGAGGCUGCCCGCCACCCCUGGACUGCUCGCUCUUGAUCACUAGGCUGAGGCAGCCCUCCGCGGGGGACUUGGAGACACGUGUCCUGGUUUUGCCACACUUGUCCUCAUGAAUGCAGGCAAAUCGUGUGCACAGCCCUUGCAACCUAAUCACUUCUUAAAGGUCCCACCUGAUCCCAUCUCUCAAUACCUCUCAAUGGGGAUUAAAUUUAAGCAUGAGUUUGGGUGGGACUUUCAAACCAUUGCAGAGCUUCGAGGGGAAGGAGGAAGCUCUGGCCGCAGACCCUGACCCGGAACAUUGACCAACUUUCCAUGGCAUUGACUGCUGCCUGAAAAACACACUUCCAGGUCUCCACCUGAACAAGGCAGCCUUCCUUGCUCUACUCACCUGCCCUGGCUUUUCUAGCAGCUUGGCUCCUCUAGCAGUUUGUCCACGCUCCAUUCCUGGGGUUUACAGUGGGGAUGUGACCGGUCCACUCAAAGAGGAUGGGCGGGUGGGGUCUUCUGACAUGAAAACUUCCAGGGGAGACAGAAGCAUACAGGAGGCUCAUCCCCAGGCUUGUCAACAAGAUCCCCAAAUCAGUGUGGGCUGCUGCAGGCUCCUGAAGGAGGGAAGAGCCUAGUACCAAGGAAGAGAGAAGGAAAGAGAGGUGAAAAGGGCUUGAAGGGGUGAGUUCAAAGCUCUGCCCCUCUAGCAGCGUGGGGACACUGGCAACAAGGUACCACGUUGGAAGGAGAAAGUAAGCCUCUCUAGACAACUGGUCUCCUGGAGCCUUGACCAUGGACUCCUCAGACUCCUCAGAUCUCAGAAGUGGAUCCCAAUCAGUUUCUGAGGUUCCAAAUGAUCCAGUUCUGGCUAUUUGGAUAGAGCAGCAUGAAGGGACUGAGGCAUCUGGGAUGCCUCAGUUUCUCUGCCCUCUGGAAAGGACACUCUCUGGCCAUAGGGUGCUUAGCUG